UACGGAGGGAGCUAGCGUUGUUCGGAAUUACUGGGCGUAAAGAGUGUGUAGGCGGUGUUCCCAGUCUGUUGUGAAAUCUCCCGGCUUAACUGGGAGGGUGCAGCGGAAACUAGAAUGCUAGAGGGUGGGAGAGGUAAGCGGAAUUCCUGGUGUAGCGGUGAAAUGCGUAGAUAUCGCUUGGAACGCCGAAGGUGAAAACAGGCUGCUGGGGUUGCGCCGACGCUGAGACACGAAAGCCAGGGGAGCAAACGGG
rnacentral:rRNA from 1 species